CAACCUGCCGAUGUCUCGGGGAUAGCCUUUCGAAAGAAAGAUUAAUACCCGAUGGCAUAUUUCUUCCNCAUGGUAGAACUAUUAAAGAAUUUCGGUCAUCGAUGGGGAUGCGUUCCAUUAGGUUGUUGGCGGGGUAACGGCCCACCAAGCCUUCGAUGGAUAGGGGUUCUGAGAGGAAGGUCCCCCACAUUGGAACUGAGACACGGUCCAAACUCCUACGGGAGGCAGCAGUGAGGAAUAUUGGUCAAUGGACGAGAGUCUGAACCAGCCAGGUAGCGUGAAGGAUGACUGCCCUAUGGGUUGUAAACUUCUUUUAUAUGGGAAUAAAGUUGUCCACGUGUGGAUUUUUGUAUGUACCAUAUGAAUAAGGAUCGGCUAACUCCGUGCCAGCAGCCGCGGUAAUACGGAGGAUCCGAGCGUUAUCCGGAUUUAUUGGGUUUAAAGGGUGCGUAGGCGGAUUGUUAAGUCAGUUGUGAAAGUUUGCGGCUCAACCGUAAAAUUGCAGUUGAUACUGGCAGUCUUGAGUGCAGUAGAGGUGGGCGGAAUUCGUGGUGUAGCGGUGAAAUGCUUAGAUAUCACGAAGAACUCCGAUUG
rnacentral:rRNA from 1 species